UACGUAGGGGGCAAGCGUUAUCCAGAAUUACUGGGCGUAAAGGGCUCGUAGGUGGCCAAGUAAGUCAGACGUGAAAUCCCUCGGCUUAACCGGGGAACUGCGUCUGAUACUGGAUGGCUUGAGGUUGGGAGAGGGAUGCGGAAUUCCAGGUGUAGCGGUGAAAUGCGUAGAUAUCUGGAGGAACACCGGUGGCGAAGGCGGCAUCCUGGACCAAUUCUGACGCUGAGGAGCGAAAGCCAGGGGAGCAAACGGG
rnacentral:rRNA from 1 species